GCCCAUUUUUCAACUCUUGAAGAAUAAUUGCUCACAAAAUAUUGACCAAAAUCUGCAGUAUCUGUAUCAUUUUUUAAAUCUUCAAUGACCUUUGUUAAUUCUAUGUAAAAUUUGUUUUUAUCAGUUUCAUGCAUUAAAGAUUUUAAUGUCUUAUAAACCAUAGAUUUUUUUUCGUUUGAAUGAAUUUUGGAAAGGUUUUUACUCCAACUUCUUAAUACGUGCCAAGUACAUAAUAAUUGUUUAGAAACCGGACCCAUAAUAGAUUCCCAUGCGUUAUAAAAUCCAGGUUCAUCGUCAGACAUAAAUACAUUAGCUUUGAUAAGUCCUACUGCACGCCGGAUAUAUUCAAAAAAUAAUUUAUAUGUAGAUGUAUCUGAUUUAUUUGUAAAACAGAAUGCCAUAGGAAAUACAUUUCCAUAAUUGUCUACUACAAGUAAAGUAUACAACUGAAAGUUAUAACUAUUUAAACCAUGUGUUCCGUCUAUGCAUAUUUUAUCAUAUCCAAAUUUUUUUAACAUUUCAGCUUGGUAUUCAGUCAUUAAAAUUAAACAAAAGUCAUGCCGAGUCAAAUGUGUUGUGGAAUCUUCUCCUUGGUGCUUAAAAUAUAACACUGGAUUUGUCUCACCUUUUUCUUUAAAUUUCUCUACCCACAGGUUUUAAAUUCAGGAAUCAUUUAUUUCAAGUAGAAAAAAUGUUAUUACCUUGCUAGCUCAUCUUGGAUGGUAUGACCGAUGACAAAUAUAAUAUGUGUAUUCUACAUUAUGUUGUCACAAGUAUAACCAUUUUUCUGUAUGUGAUUAACCUUCCACAAAAUACAAGAUGACACAUUCAGAAAUAUUUUAUAUAAAUAAAAUAAGAAUAAAAAUAAAAAUAUAUUUACAAAUAAUAAAUAAUAAAAACUAGUUAUUUUUAAUGAAACAAUUUUUGUGUUUAAUUAUGGCCUAACAUUUAUAAAACUUGAUAUUAUAGUAUAUACCUGUGGUAAAAGAUCUGUAUGUUUUCUUUUUAAAUGUUUAUUUAAAUUAGAUACAGUUGAAAAUGUAGUAUUACAUAGAACACAAUCUCUGGA